CUAACUAGGGGUGGGCGUGGGUUGGGUUGGGUCGGUUUUUACCCCAACCCUAACCCAACCCAACGUGGUCGGUUUGAUCGAAGAUCAACCCAACCCAACCCAACCCAAUCAAGUGUCGGUCGGGUUGGGUUGGGUUUGUCGGUUUGAGCAAAAUGUUUAACUAGAAUCAUACGUGUGUGCCCGUGUGUAGUUUUCACAGAAGUACACCAAAAUCAUACCUCAUAUGCCUCCAGUGACUGAUCAGCAAUUUCUUUCCUCUCAUUACCAGUUUUGAAUUCUAUAAGAUGCCAAUAAUAAUCUCCUUUCCUGCAAAAGACAGAGACCAUUCAAUUCCUCACAAACUGAAAAUCACAUUCAACUAACUAAAACAAAAUCACAUUCUAGAAAUCUGCCUCCCACCACCAUUUAUUUGAAGUAGCUAAAACUAAUGAACAUUUGAUAUUCUAUAGAUUAUAACAGAACCUGAAGGUUGAGGCAGUUUUUUUAAUAUCCAGUUUACUAGGACAAGAUAGAAACAGAUUUGCAACAACCAAAACAAUCAUAACCAGAAGGCUCACCAAAAGGAAUUCUUGGGAAGGGCAGUACAGCAAUUGAGACAAAAUAGAUACUAAAAUCUCUAAAAGGCCAAACACAUAAAUUCCAGAAAUAUAGCAAUUGCAACUGACUAAUACUAAUGAAUACGUUUGUAGCUCUAUCCACAUAUAAUCAAAGUAAAGAUGCAGAUUGUGAAAGAUAUACUUUAAAGCUCUCAAAGACCAUGCUCCUCCUAACUGCUCAACUCAAAUAAAGAGAUGUUUGUAAUCCCCAUUGGCAAGUAGGAAAACUUGAUUGUAACUAGUUGUAUCUUUUUCGGCAGCCACAUUUAAUGGUACCCAUGUGGCAGUUUUUUUCUCCUGAAACAUUUGUUUGACGGUGGCUACUGAGUAGACAAACGUGCUUGUUUUCUGUGUGGCAUCUCUCUUUUCCACCACCCCCUGUUUGCUUGGCAUAUGACCACCACUGCGUUCUACCCCCUAACCCAUCGAUGAAACUCCUCUUUUGAGUAGUUGAGAAUCUGAAAUCAUUGCCAUCUACCACCUGGCAGCAGAGCUUUCAUUGCCGCAGCCCACAUUCAGGUACUUGUUCGAGCUUAUACUGCCUACCAGGGUC
rnacentral:lncRNA from 1 species